CAGUCGCCGCGGUAAUACGGAGGGUGCAAGCGUUAAUCGGAAUUACUGGGCGUAAAGCGCACGCAGGCGGUCUGACAAGUCAGAUGUGAAAUCCCCGGGCUUAACCUGGGAACUGCAUUUGAAACUGUCAGGCUGGAGUCUUGUAGAGGGGGGUGGAAUUCCAGGUGUAGCGGUGAAAUGCGUAGAGAUCUGGAGGAAUACCGGUGGCGAAGGCGACUAUCUGGGCCAACACUGACACUGAGGCACGAAAGCGUGGGGAGCAAACAGGAUUAGAUACCCCGGUAGUCCCUGUCUCUUAUAC
rnacentral:rRNA from 1 species